rnacentral:rRNA from 1 species
GAUGAACGCUGGCGGCGUGCCUAAUACAUGCAAGUCGAGCGAACGGACGAGAAGCUUGCUUCUCUGAUGUUAGCGGCGGACGGGUGAGUAACACGUGGAUAAACUACCUAUAAGACUGGGAUAACUUCGGGAAACCGGAGCUAAUACCGGAUGAUAUUUUGAACCGCAUGGUUCAAAAGUGAAAGACGGUCUUGCUGUCACUUAUAGAUGGAUCCGCGCUGCAUUAGCUAGUUGGUAAGGUAACGGCUUACCAAGGCAACGAUGCAUAGCCGACCUGAGAGGGUGAACGGCCACACUGGAACUGAGACACGGUCCAGACUCCUACGGGAGGCAGCAGUAGGGAAUCUUCCGCAAUGGGCGAAAGCCUGACGUAGCAACGCCGCGUGAGGGAUGAAGGUCUUCGGAUCGUAAAACUCUGUUAUUAGGGAAGUACAUAUGUGUAAGUAACUGUGCACAUCUUGACGGUACCUAAUCAGAAAGCCACGGCUAACUACGUG